UACGGAGGAUGCGAGCGUUAUCCGGAUUUAUUGGGUUUAAAGGGUGCGCAGGCGGAAUGUCAAGUCAGCGGUAAAAUUUCGGGGCUCAACCCCGUCGUGCCGUUGAAACUGGCGCGCUUGAGUUCAGGCGAGGUAGGCGGAAUUCGUGGUGUAGCGGUGAAAUGCAUAGAUAUCACACAGAACGCCGAUUGCGAAGGCAGCUUACCGGCGCUCAACUGACGCUGAGGCACGAAAGCGUGGGUAUCAAACAGG
rnacentral:rRNA from 1 species